CGAUCGUGAGAACACAACUGUUUGCAGUUCUCUGGCAUGAGAACUAAAAAAUACUGUACAGUACUUGCUGAACUUACCGCCGGCUGCAUCCUCCGCGUCCACAUUGCUGUGAGGCUCUCACCAUCCCCGUGUCCUGCAGCUCCGUCACCCAGCAGGGAUGCAGAUGUGGUUCAGCUGCACCCCACAGCUGUGCUCUCAUCGAUAUUAAACCCCCAGACGGAGUUCAGCCUAAUGCAGGCCGGGUCUUAGCUCUUCCACUGCAGUGAGCAUCAGUGCUGCCCAUGGAAUCGCUCUGCUGUGGAACUGAGCUAAGCAAACUGAACGUUGGUGGGAGAUGGGGAGGGAGGGGAAGAUAUUGAGGCCGAGGGGAUUUCGCUGGGUUGCUCCUGACUCCCAUGACUCACUGUUCUUGCCUAGAUAAGGCUGAGCGGACGCUUUCCUAAGCAUAAAUCAGCCUGGGGGAGGGCAAGGGAAUUUCCUUGGUUCCAUUCCUUUUUUAUUAACUUAAGGUGACAUCCCUGUGCGUGCCAGGGAUGCCCAAUUAUUGUUAUCAUCUUUUUUUUUUUUUUUUUUAAUCCAUCCAAGGUUAGCAUCCAUAUUGAGUUUUAAGAAGAGAAGUUGGAUGGGAGUUGGGUGCGUGUUCCAAUUCAUCUUAUUUAAAUGCUUGUUAAAAGCUAAUUUGCAGAACCACUCAAAUUUCACACCAUUUCCUCAAUCCCUUGUGAGCCAGUUAAUAAGUCACACAGAGGCUAAUCACCAAAGAAUGCUCCUCUGCUCCCUCCUGCUCUCGUUUUCCUGAGAACUGCAACGUGCAAAGGCAAGAGCAGCUCUGUGGGAGCUGCCUUUGGUUUGUUUUUCUGCUGUUCCUGUGUUACAUGGCAGUUUUUGUAUGGCAUUGCACUGGACAGGGUUGGAAAGGCAUGGGAAGGAAAGGUUGGGGAGUUUUUCGCUUGCGUGCCUCUGGGCUGCUGUACCUGUUUUAUCCAGGAGGGAGGGAAGGGAUUAGCACUAAGCUGAGGAUGAGGAAAAGGUUUCAGUGCUGUGAUUCCAGCAUAGAGCAGUCCUGCGAGCCUAUGUAAAGCACUGGGGGGAGAAGCACGGUCCAAGCUUGUGUGUAAUGUUGCCCUAUGUUUCUUACAGAAGGGAGCUGAAAACCAGUGGGUGCAAUUCUGAAAAACCAGCAUGAGGUCUGUGCACUGUCCCACACCAGGGCGGGUCCCCAGGAACCCCAGAAUUUGAGAGGCACCAACCAUCCUUGUGCAAAGGAAGAAACAAAAAGCGUCUGUGAACCACUGAAGACAACAUUCUCACAGUAAGUUCUUUUAGACUGAGCUAGUUCUUUCCAAAUGGCUUUAAGCAGUGUCAUCGAUUUAUGGAAAGAAAUAGCAGAGUAAGAGUCAGGUCCACCCUGUCUUAAAACAGAUUGUUAAGUUAGUCCACCAAAAUAAUGGAAAUAAUCAGGGAGAAUGGUACUUAAAACAGCCCCACUUUUUCACCAGGAAGUUAGAAAUUGGCAUUAAAAAAAUAUAUGAUGUAUAAAUAUAUAUAAUAUAUAAAAAUAAAAAAACGUUACUUAUAAGCUGAAGGCUUUAAAACAAAUGGUUUUGCUAUUGGAGCAUUCGACUGGAGGAGAGAAGCCUAGAGGAGCUGAUGUGAAAAGGACAGAGCAAAUGAUAAUAGCAAGGCUGAAAAACUGAACUCCGCUGUUGAUUCCAGCUGUCUGUUCCUUAAAUUGCCUUAUAUUUAGAUUAGAAAAAUGUUUUGGUUUGGAGGGAAAAUUAUAAACUAGAAAACUCAAACGGUAAUUUUCAUUAAGUGUUUGCUUUUGUUCUCUGGAAAGCUAACAUGGCUCGGAAGUAAAUAGAACACAAUUGGAGAAGAGCACUUGCAUUUCUCCGAAUGCUACAACGCUCAGCAUUUUCAUGUGAAUGUAUUCUAUCAUUGCAACAUCAAACACGUGCUAUGCUCUGUAUUCUGCAUGAUUUUCUGUUCCCAGGCUCACUCUGAGAUUCCUAAUUCUACAGGAAGAUGACUUUCUUAUACUUGCUUUUACCCCUUCUUCUAUAACCUGAAGCAUUUCACCAUAAAUUUGUCAGAUCUCCCCAGCUGUGGGCAGUAAAUCACACUUGGGUUUCUCUAUUGGCCACUGACCUCUGCUUCCAAAUUCGCUGUUGAACUUUUCCACGUUGUACACGAAACACCAUAAUCAUCAUUACCAGGCAGUAUUAGAAAAACAGAGAACAUCCAAUGCUGCCCAGUAAGAUGGUAAUGGCAUCUCAGGAUCAUGGUCUGCAAGCAGCAGAUACAGCACAAGCUAGAAAGCCUCGCUGUUUGGAGAAGAAAAAAGAGAAAGGGAAAACAAGCAAACAAACAAAAAAGAAUACAACCUACAGCUGUCCUUCGUUUGGGAUCUUCUCAAUUAUCAAAUGCUGUCACUUACCAAGAAGAGUCCUCAUUCUAUUUGCACCUAAUGGCCCUCGCCCAUCAGCUGCCAACUGUCACAAGGUGGCAUUUGAGGGCUGGGCAGUCAGAGCCCUCGCUGCUACAGCAAAUUAAAAAGGUGGGGAAAAGCAAAAUCCAGGAAGCAACGCAACCUUACAACCUCAGGCAUAUGUAACUCUUACCUUUUUUCCAGUACCUCCAACUGUGCAAGCUUUAUCUACGUUUUUAUUACGCAAUUAACGUUUGCUGAUUCUUUCAGUCACCUUUUAAUCAGGUUUGUUUCUCUUAGGAAAUCCAAAGGCCUUACCGAGCACAGUUAUUACAAGGAAACCAUAUUGCUUUAAACACUGAGAGAGCUUCCGUCCUCUCCCUGCUCACGAGAUCUUUCCAGGUGUAGAGUUUUAUAGUGGUGCGGUAAUACAACGCAGGCGAGUGUUAAAAAACACACCGAGUUCUCAAGCAAGAUCUCUGCAGCAGCCAAAUGCACCACCACUAUCGUGCUUCUUCAGCACAAAGAGGCUCAGCGUUGGCAUUGAAUACCUUUGCAAAGCCACGACAAACCACCUUCCACUGCGUUUUGAAACCUGCCAGGGAUCUCAAAGCCUCGGGAAGGUGAGAGCCAUUCCCAGCCUCGCAGCAGCACCGCAACCACCGGACAUCAGAACAGAAAGGUGGUGAAAAUGAAGAGAAGAACAGCUGGACCAAAACAUGAUGAAAUGAUCGAGGAAGCCACUGUGGCAACUGGCAUCAGUUUAAGAUGCGUCCAUCUGUCACGUCUUUCUGUACAUCAGCUGACUUUACAGAGGGAAGGAUGGAAUCACAUAUUGGAAUUUACACACAAUGGUGAGAUCCUUGCAGAUUGUCUGCGCUCAGCUGGAAAAGGCCCCAGUCCACCCCUCUCACUCUGCAUCAGCCUCGGUGGCCUUUGCCAGCCCUGCUUUGUGUUUCUGAUGCCAUCUGCAGAUGCCAUUAGGACAACUCCAGUCAGGCAGCAUUUCAUUUAUGAUGCUCUGGGAAUCAACCCAGCAGGAAAGGACAUUGGUGCGAUCCUGUCAUUUUCGGAAGGUUCCAGGGAUGUUUUAACCUGAUCCAGAAGAUUUUCAUCUGUGGCCCAGCCACGAGGUAACAUAUUGUGAUUCCAACAGCAAAACUGCACAAGAGAUAUACCAGAAAUUCUGAGCUAACGACUCAGUGCUCCUGGGCUCGGUGGAUCUCUCCCAAGCCUGUUUCUUACAGCUGAAAGCUUCCAACAAUCUCAGAGGCGUUACGCUGAGUGAGGCACGUGUUCAAGCCAGAAGAUGUGCACAAAAAUGCCAUGAAUGAGUUCCUCAAAAAGUAUAAAGUCCAAAUCUCGCCAAGAGAUUCAACAGGACACCUCUUUGAGUAGCCAGAUGUACAAACUGGUGUCGAUGGAACCUGGGGAGUGGCAUUAUGUCAGCUCCCACAUCCCUCCUGCUUGCCAGAGACGGAGCACAUCCAGAAUGAAGAGGGAUGGGUCUCUCCACAACAGUGUAAGCAAAGAGGAAAGUCUGAAGGGACAGGAAAUGAGGAAUUUUUUCAAGGCCACUUCUUUUAAAGCCUUUUUCACCCUCCUGACUUUGACACGUUUCCCAAUAAGGAAAAAAAAAAAGCUCCUUGAGGCCAAACUAGCUCUCAGCUUAUCUCCAGCUCUCACUAGAACUGCCCUUUCACUAAUGCAGCUCAGAAGGUCAAAGUUUCUUCCGUAAAGCAAGGUGAGUGCAUUGGAUGUGUUCAGGGCCACAGGAGCAAGGUGUGUGAGGGGGGCAAUGGCACGGCGGAGAUAGCAGUGAGGUGUUCGGGCACUUCUCCAAGGACUGGGGAGAGCUCUGGCUUUCCCCCUUCAUUCAAAGCUCCCUCAUUUCUUACCCUCCUUUUUGCAAUUGCAAACAAAAGGUUAAGAAGUCUGUGAGGGCAGUGCUGCUGUGAGUUACCUAUCCUUAAAGAAACACAACUGGAUCAACCAAUUCCCUUUGCACAAGGUAAAAGACAUAAUACCAGUUUGGAUUGCCGUGGAGGAGUGAAAAGCCCCAGUGCACUAUUUGAUUUCCUACUUCUCCGUUUAAGAAUGGGAAAAUAUUUUUUAAUUAAAAUCCUUUUCUUGACAUGCCAGCUCUUCUACUAUUUAUUCAUUCCACAUCAGGAAUGUCGGCCCCGAGCAGGAUUCGACUCCCAGUACUACUAAGGGGCAAUAUUAUGCAGCCAGAACUUGGAGCAGACUUGUGAAGCCAUGCAGCCCUUCCUGCACGCCUCUUUCAUACCUGCUGUCUAUUCUCCAAAGUCCUGUGAUGCCUUAGGCUGGGAUCCUGAAAGUCCUUGCAUUACGUAUGUUCUUUGCAACGUCCUCCAGCUCAGUUUCUACUAAAAACACAGACUGUGCUGGGGCGCAGCGUAUCAACAGAAUGCGUUGUCGGCACACUCUGUCAACGUGGCACUUCCAAUGGAGCAGCAGGCACCGCAGUCACCACGCAUCGCCCCGUGCUACGCUGACAUCCUCAGCGGUCACUUCCACCACAGCCAAACACCUGCAGAUUGAGCCAACCAGCACAACACACCCGGGCUUAAACAGACAAAAACCCAGCCGACGAAAUUCUGCUGCCCUGCAUAGCGUUCACAAACAAGCUGGGCAAUGCCUGGAUGACUACCAGAAAGGCACGGUUUUCUUAGCUGCAUAAUGUAGUUCUAAUGCACAAUCCUCAUGCCUUGAUCUGGUGUUAAUCAUUGAUCAGCCCAACAACGGUUGGUGAAUUUUCUUGUUAAAACUUUCUAUCGUUUAUGACCUGCUCAUAGGCACUGUGUGAUGGAGGUGGGAGGUGCUGUGGGGAAAAAAAGAAAAUCUAAUGCUGUAGAAGACAAAAAAUGUGAAAUAAUCUCCGAGACCACCAUUAAAAUAACAGUAGUUUGGUUUGCUUGGUUUGCCCAAGAGCUGCCACUAAUGGGAUGCAAAGCAAUCCUUGUAUUUCCUUCUACCCAAUACUGCAUACAUUUCUUUUCCUCCUUAGAACCAUUAGAGAAACUUUAUGUAGAAAACAAGUUUCAAAAGUGAUUUGUAGAGAACGAGUUCAAAGGAAAUAUACACUUUGUAAAAAUGUGGGGAUUUUGUGGCUGCAGUGGCAGUCAAAGGAUCAGCAUCAAACUCAAGGCCAUGUACGUAUAUCCAUAAGAUAUUCAAAACAGCCAAAGAGGUUACACAGUUCUUAUCAUCAGAGAUCUGAGAGCCCAAAAUUAACUUAUCGCCUUAUCGUGGGUUUAAUGCCUGGAGUAGCUGCUACUGCAGAAGUUUAAUAGCAACAAAUAGGAGUCAGGAAAAUGGUUUUAUAAAAACGGGCUGAAAUGAUUCAGUGCAGUUUUGUGUGAUAUUUUGAUAAACGCACUUGGAUCUUCACUUCAGCGUGUGCCAACCUGUCUGCAGGACAGAGAGAACAUUCACAGUUCUUUCUCUUUACUACAAGAGCUGCCAGCAGUUGGCCCUGGUUGGAAUGCACACCACAGCCAUCUGCUCCAGCCAACACGGCGCUCGCAGGGAGCAGCUAUGGGGCCAGAGCCCCCAAAAGGCACGGCCCAAAUUUCAGAAGAAUCAGGGAUUUCGUGACCAGCUCAAAAUGCAAAAUCCCACGCAUUUUUUUCCUGUCUAGUUCACGAAAUAGAAAUAGUUUGUUAGGAACUGAUAGCCUCCUCCUUCGCACGGUGCUAAUAAAUUCCGGCUCGUUUUUCUUGUCUGCUUUUAGCAAGACUUACUUAGUACCUACAGAGCACAUAAAUUAUUUACAUUUACCAAAUAAUGGUGUGAGCCAUCGCAGCAGCUUGCUGCUUACAUUACCACUGCCGGUGCAACAAGCAAUUCCUGAGAGUUAGGAGAACUUCUUGCUCUGCAGAAGACGACGCCUGCCUUUAGUGCACUCGAGGCAACGUGGUGGUGGUGCGAAAUUAAAUGCUUUGUCCCGAGAGAAUAGCAGUGACUCGUAACAGCAGAGGCAGGACCAGCCUGAGACGCAUCAUCAGAAAUAAAUCUAUCUCCAAGGCGAUUAAUCUACCGUGUAUCUGAUCUAUUGAGAAAUAAAUCCUCCCUCCUUCUCUCAUGGAUAGUAUUUUCCGGGUGGGCCCGAGCGCUUUGCUCAUAGCCAGGAUCUUUCAGAAGCAACAGGUCGUGAAGAGAAGGAAGGAGCGAGGUGGGAGCGGAAGGGAAGCGCGGAGGAAGGCGGCUGGACCUUACCGUCGUGAAACAGGCGGGAGCAAGACGCAAAGCAACGCGGCGCAAUCCGAAGAGGAGCCCAAAACAAAAAUCCAAACCAGCACCAAAAAACCCCAAACGCCCCAUCGCGUUCUCCUGAGCCCUCGGUAGAGUGCUUCCUCCGGCUAUGCGGUACCCAUGAAAUAUAAAACCACCCUCAUGGUCGCCCAGGUUACCGACUUCAUUUAGUUAAUCAUCACCACUAUUACCAAUGUUCAGGCCUUGAGAAAAAAAGGAAAGAAUGACUGAAGAGGAGUGGAAAACAAGAAACUUAAGAGAACCCCACCCCCUUUUUUUUUUUUUAACACAUCAGGAGCAAUUAGAUUAAGGACAGGAAGAAAACCCUGUUUCCUACAUGAGCAAACCUCUGCACAAAAGGGAAAGCCUAGGAGAGUUCUUACAGUGUUACGGCUAUCUCAUGGAAGCGACUUCAAAAUGCUACCAUCAGCUGGUAUGUGGUCAUAUAAGUUUAUUUUAAUGUGCCCUUUCAUUCACUUUGGGCCUGUUUAAAUUAAAAGCAGUGUUCUGGGGACGAUUUUUCUUUUCAUUCUGAAAUGAAGCUUAGCUCCAUUUUUAUACAGCAGCCUGCGUUGGUGAAUCUGUGUCAGCAGGUCAGGCCAGCUGCGGGACCCAGAGCCCUCUGAGCUCUCAUUCCACGCACAGAGCAGCAUUGCAGUGGGUGUUAACAAGGGCAGGAGGAGCACUGAGCCCCUGAUCUUUUGGAAAUACUGUAUGGCAUCACUUUGUCUGGCAGAUGGAGAUUGCUGCUGGCCAGCCCCAGCUCUCGGGUGCCAGAUUUGUAUGUUCUGACUGCUAGCAUUCCUGAAAUGUGCUAAUACAGCCGUGAUCGUAAUGGCGAGUAAUGGAAUUAUUCUGAGAACUUACUAUGCCUUCACCAGGCUCACUGCUUGUAGGGCAGGAUGGGAGGAGGUGAUCGAAUUCAGAAUGUAGCUAAUAUUUUCCCAAAUCCUGGCAUUCCUUUGCUUUUCUUUUAGUUGCUUCCAUUUAGUUGCCCGUAUGUCAAACGGUGCCUUUUAGGAGCUCAGAUUCUCAUUCAGUAAUGAGUUCUAAUAAUUCAGUGAUUCAAUUAAUUAAUUUUGAGAGCCCUUAAGACGCCCACGAGUGAAGGUGCUUGCAGAAGGCUUGCACGUACCACCUCCACCUCCGCGUGGGGGCUGAGCCGCAAUGCCAGCUAAAUUAAAAAAGGGAUCCAAACCAAUUAAAAGGACUGAGAGUGGUACUGAAUUUGAAAAGUAAAUAGGAAACGGAUAAAAGCUCAUAUCUGGCUUGGUAUUUGUGCAUAAAUAUGGCAUGAUUUUUUUCAGUCGUAAUGCUGUUCCCUGAGUCUCCAGCAAGCACAAACUAAUCUUCUGUCAGAGCAGCCUAGAACAAAGCAAAGCCCUCUAACUUUUUCUUUGGAAGGAAUAUGAUUUAGGUAAUAUUUGCAAUUACAAGGAGAAGAUAUAGGCAAGAAGAAAAAAUAAAAGUCAAGAAUUAGCCUCAGUGAAACAGAGGGGUAAGUUACCAGGCAGCAUUUCCUGCAAUUUUGACGAAAUUUUCCAGAAAUUAAAGACCUUUUAGAAACCAAUCCAAUCUGGCAGCAUUCAAUCAGAGUGGGCUCAGCUCCCUGGCUCGGUCAAGCCCCAUCCCCUGGCACUGGCUGGCCCGGCUCGGUGCCUCACAGAACCUUCUCGAAGGCCGUUUGACUGGAGGGGUGGAGGGACCGCGUGAGCAAACAUUUUCUGCUGACUGCAAAGUGUCUGCAAAGCCAGCCCAGCGCCUCUUCCUGAACCGGGCGGCUGCAUUGCACACGGAGCCUGCUUGCUUACAACACACCUCUCUCUCCUCAUCCAAAUCUACCACGUCAACAGCGUCGCCCGCCAGCUGCCAGCCCAACGACGAGUCAAAAAGGAGCUUUUUGGGGGCCUCCAUCUUCCUGUCUGUGGGAGCAGCCCACGAGCAAGCUCGCGCCUCACCAGGCAGCCAAGAGCUUUGUUUUGUCUCCUGCUCCCCGGUGUCCGAGCAGGCAGCGCAAGCAGGGGCUGGUUGGGCUGGCACCAGGCCCUCUGCAGCAAGAGCGAGGAGCCCUAAUGGUGCUCGUUUGGUCGUGCACGCACACACGACAAAGCCUCGGGUAAGAAAAGAAUAAACAAAACGAACCUAAAAUGGCUCCUCUGUGCCGUGAGCGGAAACCGAUGGGUGAGGCAGAGACAGACCUUCCCUUUCCUUCCACCUCGACGAGGUGGUCUGCAAAGUUCCAAAUCUCCUUCCUUCACUUGCAGCGCAGAAGCUGAGGAAUUAAUUCUGGCUCCCAAGAACCAACACACAUACGGCUAAAACAAGAGGGUCGGGCGUUUUGUAAAUGCAAUAAAGGACAUUAAGAUGGCAGAUGGUUUAGAAUCAAACUGAAAAAUGGCAAUCGCCGCAAAGAAAAGGAAAAGGAGCCCAGAGCGUGCUGCAUUUCAAAGGUCACCGUUAGCACUGCCCAAGCUGGGUCCUCGUUGAAAUGCAGUGAGCCUGCUUGGAUGGACCUCUCUGGUUUUACACCAUCGCUUUUCAGUUCCCGUAAGCCUUCUCAAAUGGAGUCUUUUUUCCAAGCUCUCCAGGACACCUGGGUGAAACUGGCUUUCCCCCAUGGCUCCCUCCUAUUUGGUUUCUUGGUUCUGCUCUGCCUGCCCUGACUGGUUUGGCUGGUUGGAAAAUGAACGCUGGAUUCAUGCGCCGCUCCCCCUCCCCCAGAACCGAGCAGACAAAACCUGAUCCCGACAACAAAACCCUCUUUAAUCCACCUGGGGAGAAAAGGAGGAAGAGAAAAGAGGACAGAGCCCUGCGAAAAAGUGGAGAGGACGAACACAGGUAGGAAAAGCACUGCAGAAGUCAUGCCGCAUGCUACUCAGAUCAUUGCUACCACAGCACCUGGACACCGUGGCUUACCAGUACCAUGAACACACAGCAUUCAUGCAACUUCGGCGCUGAACGCACAGCACCUUUUCCCAAACCAAGAUCACCAGCCUUCGAGAGGGCAACCAAAGGGGCGCAGUGAGCAUCGCGGGUGCAGGGCAGGGCUUUCAUCAUCUUCUGAUCUUCCCGGUGUCCUGGAAGAGACGAACUCGAAGCGAGAGGCGUUCGCAGCGAACGGAGGAAAAAAAUAAUAACAAUAAAAUAGAACUAAACCUGAAAACAGAACAAAACAAAACAAAAAAACCAACACAACUCAAAAUGGUAUCAGCCUACCGAAACCUAACCAAAUUAAAAAAAAAAAAAAAAAAAAAAAGGAAAGCAAAAAAGGAUUAAACCACGCGUGGCUUUCUUCGCAGCCCAGAGCUCUGCUGCUUGUUUAAGCUGGAAUUGAGAAGAGACGGCGAGUGUCUACGGGCUCGUCUUACAUGUAGUCCUUCACCCCUCCCUGCGCAGGUGCAUUCCUUGCGCCCAGCCAAUCUGCGGCCGCUGGCCCCCAACAGGUGUGUCCUCCGUGGGGAGCGGCCGGCCGGGCCUCAGCCCUGUGCCGAGGUGGCCUCUCUGGGGGCACUCAGCCUCCCCGCUGCUGUCUGGAACAAAGAAUCGAUUAUUUACCGAGCGUGGGCUCCGAUC